AUUCAGCUGACGAGUCCGAAAAUAGAACGAAACGCGCGUCCUCGAU
rnacentral:hammerhead_ribozyme from 1 species